GAGGAAAGCUGGCGGCGUGCCUAAUACAUGCAAGUCGAGCGAACAGACGAGGAGCUUGCUCCUCUGACGUUAGCGGCGGACGGGUGAGUAACACGUGGAUAACCUACCUAUAAGACUGGGAUAACUUCGGGAAACCGGAGCUAAUACCGGAUAAUAUAUUGAACCGCAUGGUUCAAUAGUGAAAGACGGUUUUGCUGUCACUUAUAGAUGGAUCCGCGCCGCAUUAGCUAGUUGGUAAGGUAACGGCUUACAAAGGCAACGAUGCGUAGCCGACCUGAGAGGGUGAUCGGCCACACUGGAACUGAGACACGGUCCAGACUCCUACGGGAGGCAGCAGUAGGGAAUCUUCCGCAAUGGUCGAAAGCCUGACGGGGCAGCGCCGCGUGAGUGAUGACGGUCUUCGGAUCGUAAAACUCUGUUAUUAGGGAAGAACAAAUGUGUAAGUAACUAGGCACGUCUUGACGGGACCGAAUCAGAAAGCCACGGCUAACUACGUG
rnacentral:rRNA from 1 species